GGAAUCGAACGUUAAGCAGAAGCGACAACACUGUAGCAGCUGAUUCUUGACGCACAACAGGAAACAAUAAACUCCAUCGAAGCAGAACCAACAGCAAGAGAAAGUUUCAGCCCAGACAAUCUCAAUUUCGAACGAAUGACAUUUGAAACGCCCAAUGAUCCACCUGUUCCGGCACAUGACGUUACGUUACCUGAUGAAGACACUGAUGAAGGCUCAAGUGGAACCACUUGUCAGCCGAAUAAUUGUGACUACCGCUAAUAAGACCGCAAAUGCAUUUACAGCAUUACGAAUCAGUGCUACAUGUUAGAUUACACAGGUCAUAGACGGAUAAUGUCUUAUAAUGUCUGGUAAACAUUGAGUA